UGGGGAGCAGCUGUAAAUACAGAUGAAGCUUCACUUGCUCACCUGCCACUCACCUCCUGCUGUGCAGCCCAGUUCCUACCAGGCCAUGGACCGGUACUGGUCCAUGGCCCUGGGGGUUGGGGAGCCCUGGUUUAGAUGAUAUUAAACCCACACCUGGCCUGGCUGAUGAGAACAUUACAUCCUUCAGCUGCCAGGAUGGACCAACAUAAGUGAUCCAACUAAAACCAAUGACUUUUGCUGGGAAGACAGGUGAAGAGACAGAGAGAAAAAAACAGAGAGAAACUGUUUUGUCUUCUCAUUUUCUUGUCAUCCAGAAGCCUGGAUUAAUCGGAACCAGGUUGCCACCCAGAGGGAGAGGCAUGAACUGAGUGAUCAUAGAGAUAAAACAAGGGAAGUAGAACUGAAGGAUGGAGAGAAACCAGGACCUGACAAUUACUGGUGACAUCAUUUGAGCCCAAAUCCAGCCAUGUCUACAGCAGUUUGGAUAUGUCAUUCCACUGCCUUCUGACCUCCACAAUAGGAGACACUGAUAGCAGCAAGGGGCAGACAAAUGCCUGUGCAAAUGGGGCACAUCCCUGGUGAAAUACACCUUCAAGCUAAAAAACAACCUGAAGGCUGAAAGGCUGGACUCCUGGUCCUGGAUGAAACCCAGACCCAGAGUGAGAACUUCUGUUUGUGUUUGCCUGCCCUUUCCUGAUUGAUUCUUUCUGAAUAAUGCCUUUUAACCAAUCAAAUGUUGCCUUUCCAUUACUACCUAUGGCCUGCCCCUCCCCUAUUCUAAGCCCAUAAAAGCCCAAGACUCAGCCACAUUGGGGGUACUUUCCUGCCUUUUAGAGGGACCACCCCCAUGUUCCCUCUCCCUGGAAAGCUGUUUUGUCACUGAAUAAAACUCUCCACUUUGCCCACUCUUUGACUGUCAGUGUAUCUUCAUUCUUCUUGGACACUGGACAAGAACUCAGGAACUAGUGCACAAACCGGAGUCAGCCCGGGUAGGAUGAUUUGACAGAGCACCUCCUACAGCAGGUAGCAUGC
rnacentral:lncRNA from 1 species